AAACUUGGCAAUGCGAGAAAUCGUGACCAGGGAACUCCAAGUGGCUGGGGUAAGACCCAGUCUUUUCUUGACUCUUCAAAGGUCUUGGAAUAAGAGGUGGGUAAGGACGGUGCCAGCCGCCGCGGUAAUACCGGCGCCUCAAGUGGUAGUCGAUUUUAUUGGGCCUAAAACGUCCGUAGCCUGUUUGGUACAUUCGUGGGUAAAUCAACCAGCUUAACUGGUUGAAUUCUGCGAGCACGGCCAGACUUGGGACCGGGAGAGGUGUGGGGUACGCUCAGGGUAGGGGUAAAAUCCUGUCAUCCUGAGCGGACCACCUGUUGCGAAGGCGCCACACUAGAACGGAUCCGACGGUCAGGGACGAAGCCUAGGGGCACGAACCGGAUUAGAUACCCGGGUAGUCCUAGGUGUAAACGCUGUGGACUUGGUGUUGGGGAUUCUCAGAGGAUUCUCAGUGCCGAAGCGAAGGUGAUAAGUCCACUGCCUGGGGAGUACGGUCGCAAGGCUGAAACUUAA
rnacentral:rRNA from 1 species